GACGAACGCUGGCGGCGUACUUAACACAUGCAAGUCGAGCGGUAAGGCCCUUUCGGGGGUACACGAGCGGCGAACGGGUGAGUAACACGUGGGUGACCUGCCCUCAGCUCUGGGAUAAGCCUGGGAAACCGGGUCUAAUACCGGAUAUGACUCCAUGACGCAUGUUGUGGGGUGGAAAGCCUUGUGCGGCUGAGGAUGGGCCCGCGGCCUAUCAGCUUGUUGGUGGGGUGAUGGCCACCAAGGCGACGACGGGUAGCCGGCCUGAGAGGGCGACCGGCCACACUGGGACUGAGACACGGCCCAGACUCCUACGGGAGGCAGCAGUGGGGAAUCUUGCGCAAUGGGCGAAAGCCUGACGCAGCGACGCCGCGUGAGGGAUGACGGCCUCGG
rnacentral:rRNA from 1 species